rnacentral:tRNA from 1 species
GCCCGUCUAGCUCAGUCGGUAGAGCGCAAGGCUCUUAACCUUGUGGUCCUGGGUUCAAGUCCCAGUGUGGGCG